rnacentral:tRNA from 1 species
GCUCCCCUCGUCUAGUGGCCUAGGACGGUGCCCUCUCACGGCACAAACACGGGUUCGAAUCCCGUUGGGAGCA